AUUGAACGCUGGCGGCAUGCCUUACACAUGCAAGUCGAACGGUAACAGGUCUUCGGAUGCUGACGAGUGGCGAACGGGUGAGUAAUACAUCGGAACGUGCCCGAUCGUGGGGGAUAACGCAGCGAAAGCUGUGCUAAUACCGCAUACGAUCUACGGAUGAAAGCGGGGGAUCGCAAGACCUCGCGCGGACGGAGCGGCCGAUGGCAGAUUAGGUAGUUGGUGGGAUAAAAGCUUACCAAGCCGACGAUCUGUAGCUGGUCUGAGAGGACGACCAGCCACACUGGGACUGAGACACGGCCCAGACUCCUACGGGAGGCAGCAGUGGGGAAUUUUGGACAAUGGGGGAAACCCUGAUCCAGCCAUUCCGCGUGUGCGAUGAAGGCCUUCGGGUUGUAAGCACUUUUGGCAGGAAGAAAUCGCACCAAUUAAUACUUGGUGUGGAUGACGGUACCUGCAGAAUAAGCACCGGCUAACUACGUGCCAGC
rnacentral:rRNA from 1 species